AGGAAACCGGAUUUCGUCUAAACGUGGGUUAUGAUGAUGAAACAUAGUUGACACACCAUAUUUCUACAAUUUCUGAUUAUAGAGGAGGGUUUUGAAAAAUUAAGGAUAUGGAUGUCAAUGGUUUGACUGAGAAAAUGGCAUCUACAUCUGUUUCACUUUCACCAGAAGAGAAAUUGGAGAUCAUCAAAAGGAACCUGCAGG